GACGAACGCUGGCGGCGUGCUUAACACAUGCAAGUCGAACGAAGAGCGAUGGAAGCUUGCUUCUAUCAAUCUUAGUGGCGAACGGGUGAGUAACGCGUAAUCAACCUGCCCUUCAGAGGGGGACAACAGUUGGAAACGACUGCUAAUACCGCAUACGAUCUAAUCUCGGCAUCGAGGAUAGAUGAAAGGUGGCCUCUACAUGUAAGCUAUCACUGAAGGAGGGGAUUGCGUCUGAUUAGCUAGUUGGAGGGGUAACGGCCCACCAAGGCGAUGAUCAGUAGCCGGUCUGAGAGGAUGAACGGCCACAUUGGGACUGAGACACGGCCCAGACUCCUACGGGAGGCAGCAGUGGGGAAUCUUCCGCAAUGGACGAAAGGCUGACGGAGCAACGCCGCGGGAGUGAUGACGGCCUUCGGGUUGUAAAGCUCUGUUAAUCGGGACGAAAGGCCUUCUUGCGAAUAGUGAGAAGGAUUGACGGUACCGGAAUAGAAAGCCACGGCUAACUACGUG
rnacentral:rRNA from 1 species